UACGAAGGGGGGCUAGCGUUGCUCGGAUUUACUGGGCGUAAAGCGCACGUAGGCGGAUCGUUAAGUCGGGGGUGAAAUCCUGGAGCUCAACUCCAGAACUGCCUUCGAUACUGGCGAUCUUGAGUCCGGAAGAGGUGAGUGGAACUCCUAGUGUAGAGGUGGAAUUCGUAGAUAUUAGGAAGAACACCAGUGGCGAAGGCGGCUCACUGGUCCGGUACUGACGCUGACGG
rnacentral:rRNA from 1 species